rnacentral:rRNA from 1 species
UACGUAGGGGGCAAGCGUUGUCCGGAAUUACUGGGUGUAAAGGGCGUGUAGGCGACUCCUUAAGUUGAAUGUAAAAUCUCCCGGCUCAACUGGGAGGGGUCAUUCAAUACUGAGGGGAUUUGAGGGUAGGAGAGGGAAGUGGAAUUCCCGGUGUAGCGGUAAAAUGCGUAGAUAUCGGGAGGAACACCAGUGGCGAAGGCGGCUUCCUGGUCUGUCCCUGACGAUGAGGCGCGAAAGCCAGGGGAGCAAACGGG